CUUUUUUUUUGCUUUGAAAUCUGCCAGCUCUUGGAAUCAGCCUCUACCAGGCCCCUCGGGUUUCGGGCUGGAGGAAGUGAGCAGGGAAGGUUGUCCCAGGGUUCUCGGAGGGACAGUGAAGAGCAGCCAGGGGUUGGAGAUUUCUCAUUCUCCGAGGAAUAUGUUCGAUACAGACACCGCGGGUCUCCUUGUUAUGCUAGAAACCAGCGGUUGUUUGCACGUAAGGAGCUACCACACGGUAAUGAGGUGCAGCCAGAGGCAAAAUGACAUUUGGCGACGUCUUUUGUGUACUGCAGCCAGUGACUCUGAAUGGGAACUCCGGAGUAGCAUGCAGGGCUACAGAAUCACGUCUUGGAUCAAUGUGCCGCAGACACAGACUUCAUGGCCUGUAGUUAGAAACGGCUUCUUUCUCCAGUGUCAACCCCGCCGUAAAACACACCUAAAGGUCUAACAGGCAGAAUUGGUCACUUCAGGAUUGUUUGUAGAACACUGCUGCGAGGAGCGUUCUGUAGGCCGGCAGUCAUGGACUGGGGUGUGCGCACAGGGGAUCCUUGAAGAAAAGAUGUUUCACUGUCCUCUGAGAUGCCCAACCACAACCAGAGGACUGGAAGACACGGAUGCUGGGGAAGGUGGGUACCACCCACAUGCUUUUCCAUGUGAGACUGUUACCACAGGGAAGCAUGCAUGGUCUGUGUCCUUUCUGCCAUGGUGAUCAGCAAGGAGACUUCACAGGGACUCUUCACAUCCUGUCAAUCAUUGUUUCUUUGGUGAAAAUAUUUUCUAAAUGGCAAACGAGAUCAAGAGGAUGGAGAAGUAAGGAUUGGAGGAGCCCUCUGAGCGUCCAUGAAGCACACAGAGGCAUGCGGAAGAGCUCGGCAAGCUGGAUUUGAACUCACUCUCAGCAUUUCCAGUUCCAUGACCUUGAGCAAACAUAGCUGACCUCUCAAUAGAACACAGUCUCCUCUUUAGAGAGUGAAGAUAGUAAAACACCCCUCACUUUUUUUUUCUCCCCAGAUUAGCAGGUGGGAAAACAGUUUUC
rnacentral:lncRNA from 1 species